GUCUUCGUAGUGUAACGGUAAUACAGUCGGCGCGUAUAUUCGAGAGGUCCAGGUUCGAUUCCUAGCGAGGACA
rnacentral:tRNA from 1 species